CACCUCUAGCAUAACAAGUAUUAGAGGCAUUGCCUGCCCAGUGACUAAAGUUUAACGGCCGCGGUAUCCUGACCGUGCAAAGGUAGCAUAAUCACUUGUUCCUUAAUUAGGGACUAGAAUGAAUGGCUAAACGAGGGUUCAACUGUCUCUUACUUUCAAUCAGUGAAAUUGACUUUCCAGUGAAGAGGCUGGAAUAUUAAAAUAAGACGAGAAGACCCUAUGGAGCUUUAAUUUACUAGUUUAAUUUAUAUAAAAAUAACCUAAUGGCCUAAAACAAAAUAAAUAUAAACUAAAAAUUUCGGUUGGGGUGACCUCGGAGAAUAAAAAAUCCUCCGAAUGAUUUUAACUUAGACCUACAAGUCAAAGUAAUACUAAUAUCUUAUUGACCCAAUUAUUGAUCAACGGACCAAGUUACCCUAGGGAUAACAGCGCAAUCCUAUUUAAGAGUCCAUAUCGACAAUUAGGGUUUACGACCUCGAUGUUGGAUCAGGACAUCCCAAUGGUGCAGAAGCUAUUAAUGGUUCGUUUGUUCAACGAUUAAAGUC
rnacentral:rRNA from 1 species